rfam:Neotoma lepida isolate 417 scaffold_3714, whole genome shotgun sequence.
UUGCACACCAAGGCAGGCCUGCAUAUCAGUUGGACCACCAUGGAGAAUGCUCCGCAAGCGAAGGUCCGGUCAAGUGAUUGCCAUGGGGACAGCCGACCAUGAGACAAAUCCAGAGAGUUGAUUUGUGCCGGCACAAGGUAAGUUUACCAUGGGACAAGCAUUUAGUAAGCAGGAUUUAUUUAUCUCAGGACUUAAACAGUCUCUCAAGACAUGAGGAACAAGGGUAAAAAAGAAAGAUUUUUUAAAGUUUCUUGAUUAUAUUGGGGACAUUUNUCCCU